rnacentral:rRNA from 1 species
AUUGAACGCUGGCGGCAGGCCUAACACAUGCAAGUCGAACGAGUGGCGGACGGGUGAGUAAUGUCUGGGAAACUGCUUGAUGGAGGGGGAUCACUACUGGAAACGGUAGCUAAUACCGCAUACCAUCAGAUGUGCCCCGAUGGGAUGAGCUCGUUGGUGGGGUAAGGGUGCACCAAGGCGACGAUCCCUAACUGGUCUGAGAGGAUGACCAGCCACACUGGAACGGAGACACGGUCCAGACUCCUACGGGAGGCAGCAGUGGGGAAUAUUGCAUAAUGGGCUCAAGCCUGAUGCAGCCAUGCCGCGUGUAUGAAGAAGGCCUUCGGGUUGUAAAGUACUUUCAGCGGGGAGGCGUUACCCGCAGAAGAAGCACCGGCUAACUCCGUGCCAGCAGCCGCGGUAAUUC